UUUUGCACUUCCUAUAUAUGGUGCAGGCCCAGGCCUGGGUCUGCGUGAGUCAUCUGUGUGUGGGUGGCUCUUGUGCGUUGUCUGCUCUCUGGUGUUUCAGUACAUUUGAAUGAGCGUGUGUGUGUGUGCGUGCGCGCUCAGUCAUGUCUGACUCUCAACCCCAUGGACUGUAAUGUGUGUGUGUGCAUGCACGCGCGCUCAGUCGUGUCUGACUCAACCCCAUGGACUGUAGUGUGUGAGCGUGUGCGCGCGCACGCUCAGUCGUGUCUGACUCUCAACCCCAUGGACUGUAGCCCGCCAGCCUCCUCUGUCCAAGGGGAUUUUCCAGGCUAGAAUACUGGAGUGGGUUGUCAUUUCCUCCUCCGGGGGAUCUUCAGGACACAGGGAUUGGCAUCUCCUUCACUGGCAGGCACAUUCUUUACCAUGGCGCCACCAGGGAAGUCUGCUGAGAAUAUACUGUGUUUAUUUCUAGCAGAGCCUUUGUGCUGCACUGAUUUCACCCUUGUCACCCUGUGACCCCACACAGGAAAGACACGUUUUUGUCUUCGUCACGUUGUGACCAGUUCCAUCUGUGAAGGACAGGCGGUGACUGUCCCAAGGUCAGGAGAGGGGAGGGGAGGCCCCUAAGAUCUCGUCCACCCUGGCACUUCCCUCCGCGUGCGCUGCAGCCACACCCAGAAGAGCGUUCGGUCUCCUCAGUGACUUCUAGGAAGAUUGUACAUACAUGCUUAGUAUCAGUGGCUCUCGGUUCCUGGGGCCUGCAUGUCCUCUCGCCUGCUUAGUUUCCUGGAGUAGGUUUCUAGGUGGCUGUGCGACAGCUUGUGCUAACACAAGCCGUCUUGAUAGGCAGUGUGGGUAGUAACAGGUGUAUAGGAGCUGACACUGGACACCGCCACCCACCAUCCCCAGGAAAGAGAAUAGUGCAUUGUGAGACAAGCUGAGAGCAGAUGGCUGUGUGGAGAGCAUGCGCUAAGCUGCACAUGGCAGACCACAGGAUGGUUCCGUGUGCACAGCUUAGACGCGCCUGACUCAGGAUUCCAUCAUGAAGGGACCCAUGCCAUUGUGGUGAGUCCACGAAGACAGCCGAGGUGGAUCCUGGGGAUGGUGCAGGCAGACCCCAGUGCUAUGGCUGCACCUUCCCCAGCCUGGCCCAGCUGCUGGGUCAGCCUGCAGGGGCAGCCAGUCCAGCCAGACCCCUCUCCAUCCCCUUCCCUGCCUGAGUCCUAGUUCCAUCACUGU
rnacentral:lncRNA from 1 species